UAUGAUUUUGUGGAUCAAAGGA
rnacentral:miRNA from 1 species